rnacentral:rRNA from 1 species
UACAGAGGUCCCAAGCGUUGUUCGGAUUCACUGGGCGUAAAGGGUGCGUAGGCGGUCGGGUAAGUCUGAUGUGAAAUCUCACAGCUUAACUGUGAAACUGCAUUGGAUACUAUUCGGCUUGAGAGUUGGAGGGGGGACUGGAAUUCUUGGUGUAGCAGUGAAAUGCGUAGAUAUCGGAAGGAACGCCGGUGGCGAAAGCGACGUGCUGGAUCUCUUCUGACGCUGAGGCGCGAAAGCUAGGGGAGCAAACGGG